AUGGGUGGCGCGGUGGCAACCGUUUUUUGUGCUCCUCGACUGCCGUCCUCUCCACCGCCCCUAAUCUCUCACGAUGGGGUAGUAGCAUCGCCGUCUUCCUCGUGCCUCGUGGCCUCCGUCUCGAUCCGGGGUUGUGCUCUCCGGGAACCCUAUCCCGUCCGAGGAGAAGGCCCUCGAGCAAGAGCGUGAGAUCCUCCCUUGCUGCGCUGCCGCCUCGCCGCUCUUCCCCCAGCCCUUGACCGUCGGUGCCCCUCUGUCUGUUCGGCCCCUCCAUCAAGGGUCAAGAAUCCUUCCAACGUCCUCCUCCUCCCGUCGCCGCCGCCCCCCCCUGGCGCUUUUAUUCAGCGGCGCCGCCUCCGAAUCCGCUGUAGAUCGCGAAGGGGGUCACGGAAAUCCUCUUGAUCGCCCACGUGAGUGCGCCGUUCGUCUCCGUCCGGAACUGGUCGGUGGCCGGCACUUGCCGCAGGCCGGCGCGUUGGCCGUCUUCCUGAAGUCGGCGUGAGGUUCGAUAAGGUCUACAGCUCUCCCGCCCUUGGAUUGGGCGAGGGCCACUGCGGCCUCUUGCCAGAAGUUUCAGGAGAAUCUCUUAGGUAGCUGGUGCUUCGGAUCACUGAAUUUCUGAACAGGACAGUCCUAUGAUUGCCUGAAAAGCUGGCAGUUGCUAAUACAUCAAUCGAUCAAAAUGAGCCGAAAGAGCUCUCACGUAACAGACGAGCUAAUUCCCUUGAGGAUCUUCUUUACACCCUUGAUCGACCAGCUCCUCCAGAGAGAAGUAACUCGAUGAAACCUCCUCCUGGGUGGCAGUGGAAACCUCAACUUUUCCAUUGGGAUGUUCAUUCAUGCAAUUCCAAUUAAACGUCUUCUCACCGGCCCAGCUAGGCUUGGCUUAAUGCAGUCCCGGUUUGAUGAUUCUUCCCUACAGCCCUACAUCAUUCACAAAGAAAAGGAUGGCAGAUAAGGACCUCAACGAUACAGCACAUUUCAGGCUUCUUUAGACCAUGACAAAGGAUGUUGUACCAGAACUAUAUUCUUGCCUAGGUUAUGCCUUGUGUUAUGAAUGGAGAAGUUCCAUGAUUUACUCGGUUCUGGAAUUAUUUGGUCGUGUGAGAUGAUUUCCCUGAUGUGAAGCACGACAAGAAUACUCGUAUGUAUGUAUGUAUGCAUUCAACUUUGUGUUCCA